rnacentral:tRNA from 2 species
GCCGGCAUAGCUCAGUGGUAGAGCAACGCUUUUGUAAAGCGAAGGUCGUAGGUUCAAAUCCUAUUGCCGGCUCAA